GCCCUGUGAUGAUUAAUUUAGGGUUUGUUUCUUAAAACAUUCGCAUGCCAGUUUCGCACAGUCAGGCUUGAGAGCUAAUGUUGUUUGAUCCUUCCUUGGAUGUCUCAGGGC
rnacentral:snoRNA from 16 species